AGAUUACAUUAUAAGAAGAUAAUUUCAAGUGUCUGACACAAGUUGGGCUUGCUAUAGCAAGAAAGUCUAACCUAUUCUGGUGUUCUCUCUUUGUGGGAUAAGCCGUUAUAUAGACUUUAACAGU